UUAAAAUUUGAUUGCAGAAUCGGAGGUCAAGCCAACCACUCAAAAACCCACCUGUGUGUUGUCACCGUUGCUUCAGUUAUCGUGUCCAUCGUCACCGCCGCUUCAGCUGCCAUGUUGAUUGUUGUCAUCGCAGUUUGAGCUGAGAGCAUUGUUUCGCCUACUCCCUUGCACUGCUGCUUCUUUCUCCUUCUUCUUCGCGUGUUUGGUCUCCUCGUGUCUUUGCGUCUUUCACAAAACCAGCCAGAGAAUCUUCUUCUGGACUCAAAUGCUAUUCUGAAAGUUACAGAUUUUGGAUUAAGUACGUAUGCACAAGUAAGAUUAUAUAUAUGCACACACACACGCAUAUCUGCCAUACAAUUAGCUUAUGCAUGUGCAUGUUAUGAAUUUCUUCUGAUUUGUCCAUGAGAAACUAUAAGUAUUGAAACUUGAAAGCAUCCCCUAUUAGCUUCUACGACCUCCCAUCCUCGAAUACGUGGUCGCUCUGCAAGGGCGGCAGCGCCGCGCGAGCUCGGAGGACUGGAGGAGCUCUUGGAGGCGCCGCGCGACAUCCCCUAUUAGGAUUUUGUUACUUGAGGAAGCCCUGCAUAAGUGUCAUACUUAAGUUGCUGAGACUAUUUAUUAUUUUUUAAACAAGUUUUGAAAACAACGAAUCUGAUUGCAUAGGAAGUUCAAAGCUAUGAAACAUCGACACUGACACGGAUACCGGACACGACACGGACACGGACAUGGACAUGUGGACAUCUGUCAAACACAUAAAAUUCAACCCUGACACGGGCGUCGGUGUCGGUGUCGUGUCGGACACCGGACACGGCAAGGCGCUGGGGCGUCCGUGCUUCAUAGGUUCAAAGACCUUCUUGCCUAUAAAUGAAUUCUUCAAAGGCAGUUCUCUUGUCCUGAGGUUUCAUGUUCUCACUUUUAAGGGUUAAGUGAUUUGAGGAUUCUGAGAACAUGACUAGGCUGGUUAAAUAUGAUUCAAUUGGAGAUAUUUUCUAUUUUUUUUUCCUUUUUUUUUUUCUUCCUUUGGAACAUUGAUCUCAUGAUUAACGAUGUGGGUAUUGCUGGAUUAAAAAAAAAUGUGUAGAUGGGAUUUGUUUCGAAAAUCUUCCUGAGAUUAUUCAAGAAAAACUCCACCUUUCCCAUUUGUCACCCAGGAUGAAUUUUCUAAGCAAUUGUAGAUUCAAUUGUGAUUCUCAUGACAAAAAAUUAUCAAGAUUUAAUUGAUGUUGAUGAGAAAAACUGAAA